GAUGAACGCUGGCGGCGUGCCUAAUACAUGCAAGUCGAACGAAACUUCUUUAUCACCGAGUGCUUGCACUCACCGAUAAAGAGUUGAGUGGCGAACGGGUGAGUAACACGUGGGCAACCUGCCCAAAAGAGGGGGAUAACACUUGUAAACAGGUGCUAAUACCGCAUAACCAUAGUUACCGCAUGGUAACUAUGUAAAAGGUGGCUAUACUACCGCUUUUGGAUGGGCCCGCGGCGCAUUAGCUAGUUGGUAGGGUAAAGGCUUACCAAGGCAAUGAUGCGUAGCCGAAUUGAGAGGUUGAUCGGCCACAUUGGGACUGAGACACGGCCCAAACUCCUACGGGAGGCAGCAGUAGGGAAUCUUCCACAAUGGGCGAAAGCCUGAUGGAGCAACGCCGCGUGGGUGAAGAAGGUCUUCGGAUCGUAAAACCCUGUUGUUAGAGAAGAAAGUGCGUGAGAGUAACUGUUCACGUUUCGACGGUAUCUAACCAGAAAGCCACGGCUAACUACGUGC
rnacentral:rRNA from 1 species